CUAAACUAAACUAUUUUCUG
rnacentral:tRNA from 3 species